CGACAUGGGGGGAACUCCAUCCAUUUCAUGACCGCGUGUGUGAAUGAAGGCCUUGUCGUUGUAAAGCACUUUAAUGCGAGGAGGAUGCUACUAAAUAAGUACCCUAGAGAUACGUGGACGUACUCACAGAAUAACCGCCGGCUAACUCUGUGCCAGCAGCCGGGUAAUACAGAGGGUGCAAGCGUAAUCGGAUUUACUGGGCGUAAAGCGCGCGUAGGCGGCUAAUUAAGUCAAAUGUGAAAUCCCCGAGCUUAACUUGGGAAUUGCAUUCGAUACUGGUUAGCUAGAGUGUGGGAGAGGAUGGUAGAAUUCCAGGUGUAGCGGUGAAAUGCGUAGAGAUCUGGAGGAAUACCGAUGGCGAAGGCAGCCAUCUGGCCUAACACUGACGCUGAGGUGCGAAAGCAUGGGGAGCAAACAGGAUUAGAUACCCUGGUAGUCCAUGCCGUAAACGAUGUCUACUAGCCGUUGGGGCCUUUGAGGCUUUAGUGGCGCAGCUAACGCGAUAAGUAGACCGCCUGGGGAGUACGGUCGCGAGACUAAAACUCAGAUGAAUUGACGGGGGCCCGCACAAGCGGUGGAGCAUGUGGUUUAAUUCGAUGCAACGCGAAGAACCUUACCUGGUCUUGACAUAGUAAGAACUUCCAGAGAUGGAUUGGUGC
rnacentral:rRNA from 1 species